CCUACGGGUGGCAGCAGUGAGGAAUAUUGGUCAAUGGCCGGAAGCCUGAACCAGCCAUGCCGCGUGCAGGAAGAAGGCUCUAUGGGUUGUAAACUUCUUUUGUACAGGGGUAAACCUCAACACGUGUAUUUAGUUGAAAGUACUCUACGAAUAAGGAUCGGCUAACUCCGUGCCAGCAGCCGCGGUAAUACGGAGGAUCCGAGCGUUAUCCGGAUUUAUUGGGUUUAAAGGGUGCGUAGGUUGUUUUAUAAGUUAGAGGUGAAAGGUCGGGGCUCAACCAGGGAACUGCCUCUAAUACUGUAGGACUAGAGAGUGGGUGCGGUAGGCGGAAUGCGUGGUGUAGCGGUGAAAUGCAUAGAUAUCACGCAGAACACCGAUUGCGAAGGCAGCUUACUAAGCCAUAACUGACGCUGAGGCACGAAAGCGUGGGGAUCAAACAGGAUUAGAUACCCCUGUAGUC
rnacentral:rRNA from 1 species